CUGACAAAAGGGAGUGAGCACAGCAAAGGAGAGCCAGCAGCAUGGUCAACUGGCAUCCCAUGACGGCUCAC
rnacentral:miRNA from 1 species